rnacentral:misc_RNA from 1 species
UUUCCGUAGGUGAACCUGCGGAAGGAUCACUCAUAAUAAGUGUUUUAUGGCACUUUUUUAAAUCCAUAUCCACCUUGUGUGCAAUGUCAGGGUUGAUUUUUCUCUCGAGAGGAACAACCCCAAACAUCAACUAUAUCUCAACUCAUUGUCUGAAAAAUAUUAUGAAUAAAACAAUUCAAAAUACAACUUUCAACAACGGAUCUCUUGGCUCUC